rnacentral:rRNA from 1 species
UACGUAGGGACCGAGCGUUGUCCGGAAUCAUUGGGCGUAAAGAGCGUGUAGGCUGCCACUUAAGUCCUGCGUGAAAUCUUGCGGCUCAACCGCAAGCGGUCGUGGGAAACUGGGUGGCUAGAGUGCGGGAGAGGAGAGUGGAAUUCCUGGUGUAGCGGUGGAAUGCGCAGAUAUCAGGAGGAACACCGGUGGCGAAGGCGGGUCUCUGGGCCGUAACUGACGCUGAGGAGCGAAAGCGUGGGGAGCGAACAGG